rnacentral:rRNA from 1 species
GAUAUGGCUCAGGAUGAACGCCAGCUACAGGCUUAACACAUGCAAGUCGAGGGGCAGCAUGGUCUUAGCUUGCUAAGGCCGAUGGCGACCGGCGCACGGGUGAGUAACGCGUAUCCAACCUGCCUUACACUCUUGGACAGCCUUCUGAAAGGGAGAUUAAUACAAGAUGUUAUCAUGAGUAAGCAUUUUCGCAUGAUUAAAGGUUUACCGGUGUAAGAUGGGGAUGCGUU